rnacentral:rRNA from 1 species
AGCUCCAAUAGCGUAUAUUAAAGUUGUUGCGGUUAAAAAGCUCGUAGUUGGAUUUCUGCAUGGAAGGAGCGGUCCACCCUUUGGGUGAGUUACUGCUACCUUUGGUGCAUCUUUCUGAGGGCGCGUUCUUCACUUAAUUGUGAGGGCGAUGAACUCAGAACUUUUACUUUGAGGAAAUGAGAGUGUUUCAAGCAGGCAAAUGCCUUGAAUACGUUAGCAUGGAAUAAUAGCAUCGGACCAUCGUCCAGCUGUUGGUGUCUGGGCGAAGGUAAAGGUGAAUAGGGAUUGUUGGGGGCAUUCGUAUUGCAUUGUCAGAGGUGAAAUUCUUGGAUUUAUGCAAGACGGACUACCGCGAAAGCAUUUGCCAUGGAUGUUUUCA